UACGUAGGGGGCAAGCGUUGUCCGGAAUUAUUGGGCGUAAAGCGCGCGCAGGCGGUUUUUUAAGUCUGGUGUAUAAUCCACGGGCUCAACCCGUGUUCGCACCGGAAACUGGGAGACUGGAGUGUAGGAGAGGAAAGUGGAAUUCCACGUGUAGCGGUGAAAUGCGUAGAGAUGUGGAGGAACACCAGUGGCGAAGGCGACUUUCUGGACCGACACUGACGCUGAGGCGCGAAAGCUAGGGGAGCAAACGGG
rnacentral:rRNA from 1 species